rnacentral:misc_RNA from 1 species
GCUCUCUCCGCCUUGCCGACGCGCCAGAAGCGCACGGAUUCCUCCGUGACCUCUCAGACACUCUUCAAAACUUGUUUUUCUGCUUUUCAUUACUGCAGCUGGUUCUUUUUUUUUUCGUUGUUUUGAACGUCGACUUUCUUAGAGCUGUUUAACCAUCACCACCAGCGUUGCCAGCAGAAGCAACGUUACACUCCAGGCAGGCAGUGAGCAGGUCACGUCAUAACAUCCCCCCUGCCCUCCCCUCGUUCCCUCUGCCUCCCUCUGUCGUGCUCUGCGCGCCUCGCCCCACGUUGCCCCUCGCCCUCCUCCUCAUUCCCCUUCGCCUGCACGCCUCCACAUCUCUCCACUCCCUCACCCCCCUCUCCCCCUCGCGAUGCCUGCAACGGCGACGGAGGUUGUGUGCGGCAAAAAGCCGAGGGUGGUGCUUGCGUACAGCGGCGGCCUGGACACGUCUGUGAUCAUCCCGUGGCUGAAGGAGAACUACGACUAUGAGGUGAUUGCGUGCUGUGCGAACGUUGGGCAGGGUGCCGGUGAGAUAGACGGGCUGGAGGAAAAGGCGAAGAAGUCCGGUGCGUCGAAGCUAUACCUGCUGGACCUGCGUGAGGAGUACGUGACGGACUACAUCUUCCCAACGUUGAAAGCUGGCGCGACGUACGAGGGGAAGUAUAUGCUGGGGACGUCGCACGCGCGACCCCUGAUCGCGAAGCACCUUGUUGAAGUUGCGCACAAGGAGGGCGCUGUCGCGAUCUGCCACGGCGCCACGGGGAAGGGCAACGACCAAGUGCGGUUCGAGCUGGCGGUCAUGGCGCUGGACCCAAGCCUGAAGUGCGUGGCGCCGUGGCGCGAAUGGAACAUCAAGUCGCGCGAGGACGCGAUCGACUACGCGGAGGCCCAUGGCGUCCCUGUACCGUGCACGAAGUCUGACCUGUACUCGCGCGACCGCAACCUGUGGCACAUCAGCCACGAGGGCAUGGACCUGGAGGACCCAGCAAACGAGCCGGCGUACGCGAGGCUUCUGAGGCUGUGCAACACGGUGGAGAAGGCGCCGGACGAGGCGGAGUACGUGACGGUCCAGUUCGAGAAGGGCAUCCCCGUCGCCGUGAACGGCAGAAAAAUGUCGAGUGUGGAGCUUGUUGAGGAGCUGAACGCGCUUGGCGGCAAGCAUGCGAUCGGGAUCGAGGACAUCGUGGAGGACCGCCUGGUAGGGAUGAAGUCGCGCGGCGUGUAUGAGACACCCGCGGGGACGAUCCUGUACAAGGCGCUGGACAUGCUGGAGUCGCUGUGCCUUGACCGUGACACGCAGUCCUUCAAGCGCCAGUCGGCAGUGCGCUUCUCCGAGCUUGUGUACGACGGCAAGUGGUUUACGCCGCUGCGCGAGUCGAUGUCCGCGAUGUUCGACCAGAUGGCGGAGACGGUGACAGGCGAGGCGACACUGAAGCUGUACAAAGGUAACCUAGUGCCUGCUGGUGCACAGUCGCCGUACUCGCUGUACAACAAGAACAUCGCGUCGUUCGGCGACAGCAAACACCUAUACAAUCACCACGACGCGGAGGGCUUCAUCCGGCUGUUCGGGCUGCCGCUCCGUGUGCGCUCGAUGAUGAAGGCGAAGGAGAUGCCGAGCAGCUUGUGAAGUGCAUGCUUGCGCGUGGGCUUGUGUACCGCAGUGCGCGCCACCACCACCACACUACUUACAACGCCUGCAUUUUUUUUUUCAAAUCGUUGCAUCGCCUGCUCCGUGUUGCUCACGCACUGCCGUGUACUUUCUGCUACGUGAAGUCUCUCUCGCUUCCUUAUGUGCUUGAUCACAGGAGUAUUCGCGCUGUGACGCCCGCGCAGUGCGAAUCGUCGGCUGUAACUCCCUCGCCUUCUUCCUUGUCCCCACACGCGCUUUUCGCCCGCGGAAACCACGAGGAGAACGCUUUUCGGUACUGCGCAGCAGAAGGGCCGGGGUGGGUACGGGACUGCGCCGGUCACUUGCCCACGGACGACUGCGCGCAGAGCCAUCUAUGCUGUCCUUCCGUGCGUGAACGGUGCGCGUCUGUGCCCCGUCCGGCGGCCGAAUUUCCACUGCCGCCUCUGCCUUUCUUCCGCUAUCCUCGUACUGCGUCAAGUGUGAGUGUGCCUGCGCGUGGCGCCUCUGUGGCUCUAUCCGAGUGUCUCCCUCGCUCUCUCUCUCUCUGGCCACCCUGUGGCCUCUCCGCCGGUGCGCGUGGGGGAGCGAGCGCAUGAAUGGUGUGCGCUCCCCUGCGCCGUGGCGGCAGGCCGACCGGCCUUUCCGACAGGGGCGUUCACCGAGGCAGCCGAAGCCGCCAACGUGAGUACAAGUGGUGAAGAGGUAGAGCACACAAACACGUGCACUCACGCAGGCGCAGCGUCGUUUUCGUGUCCUCCGUGUUUCUUUUUUCGUGUCUUCUUUCUCUUCGCGCAUUUAUUAUAAGUGCGCUCUCUUUUUCUUACGACUUCGAAUUCGUGGCACUGUCCUGUCAUCGCCCGCCUUUGCGUCCUCUCGCCAUCAUCUGUGCAGCGGUACUACGUGAGAGCUCUCUGAGUGCAUUUUAGUAUGCCAAAGGAGAGGAGUGCCUUCCGAUUUCAGCUUUUUUUUUCCAGUGUGCCCAUUCGGCAUCCAUCAAGCCAGCAGAUAUGCGCACAUGCACCGCCACAGCUCACCUGCCCCUGCGACAACACCGCUACAUCCCCGCUGUGUAGGGCGAGCUGUCUGUGGUCGAAUCGGGCCAUGCGCCUCACCGUCUCGUCUCGUCCUUCCUCGACUCUACCUUGCGAAGCGCGUGGGCACACACACACGCAAGACGCUAUCCUCGUACUGCGUCAAGUGUGAGUGUGCCUGCGCGUGGCGCCUCUGUGGCUCUAUCCGAGUGUCUCCCUCGCUCUCUCUCUCUCUGGCCACCCUGUGGCCUCUCCGCCGGUGCGCGUGGGGGAGCGAGCGCAUGAAUGGUGUUCGCUCCCCUGCGCCGUGGCGGCAGGCCGACCGGCCUUUCCGACAGGGGCGUUCACCGAGGCAGCCGAAGCCGCCAACGUGAGUACAAGUGGUGAAGAGGUAGAGCACACAAACACGUGCACUCACGCAGGCGCAGCGUCGUUUUCGUGUCCUCCGUGUUUCUUUUUUCGUGUCUUCUUUCUCUUCGCGCAUUUAUUAUAAGUGCGCUCUCUUUUUCUUACGACUUCGAAUUCGUGGCACUGUCCUGUCAUCGCCCGCCUUUGCGUCCUCUCGCCAUCAUCUGUGCAGCGGUACUACGUGAGAGCUCUCUGAGUGCAUUUUAGUAUGCCAAAGGAGAGGAGUGCCUUCCGAUUUCAGCUUUUUUUUUCCAGUGUGCCCAUUCGGCAUCCAUCAAGCCAGCAGAUAUGCGCACAUGCACCGCCACAGCUCACCUGCCCCUGCGACAACACCGCUACAUCCCCGCUGUGUAGGGCGAGCUGUCUGUGGUCGAAUCGGGCCAUGCGCCUCACCGUCUCGUCUCGUCCUUCCUCGACUCUACCUUGCGAAGCGCGUGGGCACACACACACGCAAGACGCUAUCCUCGUACUGCGUCAAGUGUGAGUGUGCCUGCGCGUGGCGCCUCUGUGGCUCUAUCCGAGUGUCUCCCUCGCUCUCUCUCUCUCUGGCCACCCUGUGGCCUCUCCGCCGGUGCGCGUGGGGGAGCGAGCGCAUGAAUGGUGUUCGCUCCCCUGCGCCGUGGCGGCAGGCCGACCGGCCUUUCCGACAGGGGCGUUCACCGAGGCAGCCGAAGCCGCCAACGUGAGUACAAGUGGUGAAGAGGUAGAGCACACAAACACGUGCACUCACGCAGGCGCAGCGUCGUUUUCGUGUCCUCCGUGUUUCUUUUUUCGUGUCUUCUUUCUCUUCGCGCAUUUAUUAUAAGUGCGCUCUCUUUUUCUUACGACUUCGAAUUCGUGGCACUGUCCUGUCAUCGCCCGCCUUUGCGUCCUCUCGCCAUCAUCUGUGCAGCGGUACUACGUGAGAGCUCUCUGAGUGCAUUUUAGUAUGCCAAAGGAGAGGAGUGCCUUCCGAUUUCAGCUUUUUUUUUCCAGUGUGCCCAUUCGGCAUCCAUCAAGCCAGCAGAUAUGCGCACAUGCACCGCCACAGCUCACCUGCCCCUGCGACAACACCGCUACAUCCCCGCUGUGUAGGGCGAGCUGUCUGUGGUCGAAUCGGGCCAUGCGCCUCACCGUCUCGUCUCGUCCUUCCUCGACUCUACCUUGCGAAGCGCGUGGGCACACACACACGCAAGACGCUAUCCUCGUACUGCGUCAAGUGUGAGUGUGCCUGCGCGUGGCGCCUCUGUGGCUCUAUCCGAGUGUCUCCCUCGCUCUCUCUCUCUCUGGCCACCCUGUGGCCUCUCCGCCGGUGCGCGUGGGGGAGCGAGCGCAUGAAUGGUGUGCGCUCCCCUGCGCCGUGGCGGCAGGCCGACCGGCCUUUCCGACAGGGGCGUUCACCGAGGCAGCCGAAGCCGCCAACGUGAGUACAAGUGGUGAAGAGGUAGAGCACACAAACACGUGCACUCACGCAGGCGCAGCGUCGUUUUCGUGUCCUCCGUGUUUCUUUUUUCGUGUCUUCUUUCUCUUCGCGCAUUUAUUAUAAGUGCGCUCUCUUUUUCUUACGACUUCGAAUUCGUGGCACUGUCCUGUCAUCGCCCGCCUUUGCGUCCUCUCGCCAUCAUCUGUGCAGCGGUACUACGUGAGAGCUCUCUGAGUGCAUUUUAGUAUGCCAAAGGAGAGGAGUGCCUUCCGAUUUCAGCUUUUUUUUUCCAGUGUGCCCAUUCGGCAUCCAUCAAGCCAGCAGAUAUGCGCACAUGCACCGCCACAGCUCACCUGCCCCUGCGACAACACCGCUACAUCCCCGCUGUGUAGGGCGAGCUGUCUGUGGUCGAAUCGGGCCAUGCGCCUCACCGUCUCGUCCCGUCCUUCCUCGACCCUACUCGACCCUCCUUCGCCGACGCGCUGCGCGGUCGGCGCCAAACAGAGAUGGGUGAGCUCUGCAUGCCUUGAUGCGGGUGGGCCGCGCUUGUGGUUCUGCUCGAGGGCGGCGGCGGUGGCGCCUCGUGCGGGCAACAGGCGGUGGUCUGGGUGCGUGACGGAUGAGCGCAGGGAGGACGCUGGCCACGUCCCGGGGAGGGCCCUGUGAGACCCGGCACUCGGUCUGUACGCCAUGCUUCUUCCUUAGCCAGCUCAAGCCGCGGCAUGCAGUAACGCGGUGUGUGGGCUCGCCGCGUGGGAGUGCGCAGAGCUCGGUGGUGCCCCUCGGGCUACUCUGGUCAUGCCUCCGGCAUCUGCGCCACAUCAGCCCAGCGGGUGGGGGAUGCAGGCGAUGCCGCACAUGCCGCACACGUGCACUGUUGGGCUGCCCGGUGCGCGCCUCUUCUCAGCCUCUCCCGUCCAUCGCUCUUGCUCUUCUGACCUCUGCAUGCUUUGCUUGGAUGCGGCACGCCGUGCCAG